AGAGUUUGAUCCUGGCUCAGAUUGAACGCUGGCGGGAUGCUUUACACAUGCAAGUCGGACGGCAGCACGAGGAAAGCUUGCUUUUCUUGGUGGCGAGCGGCGAACGGGUGAGUAAUGUAUCGGAACGUGCCCAGUAGCGGGGGAUAACCGCGCGAAAGCGUGGCUAAUACCGCAUACGCCCUUUGGGGGAAAGCGGGGGACCUUUCGGGGCCUCGCACUAUUGGAGCGGCCGAUAUCGGAUUAGCUUGUUGGUGGGGUAACGGCCUACCAAGGCGUCGAUCCGUAGCUGGUUUGAGAGGACGACCAGCCACACUGGGACUGAGACACGGCCCAGACUCCUACGGGAGGCAGCAGUGGGGAAUUUUGGACAAUGGGGGCAACCCUGAUCCAGCCAUCCCGCGUGUGCGACGAAGGCCUUCGGGUUGUAAAG
rnacentral:rRNA from 1 species